rnacentral:rRNA from 1 species
GAUCCGAGCGUUAUCCGGAUUUAUUGGGUUUAAAGGGAGCGUAGAUGGAUGUUUAAGUCAGUUGUGAAAGUUUGCGGCUCAACCGUAAAAUUGCAGUUGAUACUGGAUAUCUUGAGUGCAGUUGAGGCAGGCGGAAUUCGUGGUGUAGCGGUGAAAUGCUUAGAUAUCACGAAGAACUCCGAUUGCGAAGGCAGCUCACUGGAGCGCAACUGACGCUGAAGCUCGAAAGUGCGGGUAUCGAACAGGAUUAGAUACCCUGGUAGUCCGCACGGUAAACGAUGGAUGCCCGCUGUUGGUCUGAACAGGUCAGCGGCCAAGCGAAAGCAUUAAGCAUCCCACCUGGGGAGUACGCCGGCAACGGUGAAACUCAAAGGAAUUGACGGGGGCCCGCACAAGCGGAGGAACAUGUGGUUUAAUUCGAUGAUACGCGAGGAACCUUACCCGGGCUUGAAUUGCAGAGGAAGGAUUUGGAGACAAUGACGCCCUUCGGGGCCUCUGUGAAGGUGCUGCAUGGUUGUCGUCAGCUCGUGCCGUGAGGUGUCGGCUUAAGUGCCAUAACGAGCGCAACCCUUGUUGUCAGUUACUAACAGGAUUUGCUGAGGACUCUGACAAGACUGCCAUCGUAAGAUGUGAGGAAGGUGGGGAUGACGUCAAAUCAGCACGGCCCUUACGUCCGGGGCUACACACGUGUUACAAUGGCAGGUACAGAGAGACGGUCCCUUGCAAAAUGGAUCAAAUCCUUAAAGCCUGUCUCAGUUCGGACUGGGGUCUGCAACCCGACCCCACGAAGCUGGAUUCGCUAGUAAUCGCGCAUCAGCCAUGGCGCGGUGAAUACGUUCCCGGGCCUUGUACACACCGCCCGU